GACGAAGCGAGCGAACGUUAUUCGGAAUCACUGGGCUUAAAGGGCGCGUAGGCGGGCUGCCAAGUCAGGGGUGAAAGCCUCCAGCUCAACUGGAGAAGUGCCUUUGAAACUGGUCAUCUUGAGGGAGGUAGGGGCGUGCGGAACUUCCGGUGGAGCGGUGAAAUGCGUAGAUAUCGGAAGGAACACCGGUGGCGAAGGCGGCGCGCUGGACCUCUUCUGACGCUGAGGCGCGAAAGCCAGGGGAGCAAACGGG
rnacentral:rRNA from 1 species